UACGUAGGGUGCAAGCGUUAAUCGGAAUUACUGGGCGUAAAGCGUGCGCAGGCGGCUUUGCAAGACAGAUGUGAAAUCCCCGGGCUCAACCUGGGAACUGCAUUUGUGACUGCAUGGCUGGAGUGCGGCAGAGGGGGAUGGAAUUCCGCGUGUAGCAGUGAAAUGCGUAGAUAUGCGGAGGAACACCGAUGGCGAAGGCAAUCCCCUGGGCCUGCACUGACGCUCAUGCACGAAGCGUGGGGAGCAAACAGG
rnacentral:rRNA from 1 species